rnacentral:rRNA from 1 species
CACGGGGGGAGCAAGCGUUGUUCGGAAUCACUGGGCGUAAAGGGCGUGUAGGCGGUCAAGUAAGUGGAAUGUGAAAGCCCCCGGCUUACCCGGGGAUCUGCAUCCCAAACUGCUUGGCUUGAGUACGGGAGAGGAUAGGGGAAUUCCUGGUGUAGCGGUGAAAUGCGUAGAUAUCGAGAGGAACACCUGCGGCGAAGGCGGGUUGCUGGGCCGACACUGACGCUGAUGCGCGAAAGCCAGGGGAGCGAACGGG